CGAGGCCGGCGCCCUUACCCGGGUUGAAGAGUACGGUCCCCUUGAGGACCCAAAAUGUUGAAAGCUCUCUUGAUGGAAGAAUUAAUAGGCUCUAGUUGCUGACUCAUGAAACCCCUAAAGAAGAUCAAGUCAUCAUUAUUUAUUUCCUUCAGAUGAGCUAUGAAGAAGGUUAUCACACAGCACUGACCUCAACUCCCUGUUCUAUACAGAAGCUUCCCACCAGAGAUCUGUCUUACCCAUGUUAAUUCAGAGAUCUCAACCACGGCCAAGAAGAGUAACUUGAUUUUUGCAUCACUAUCUUCCUUUCUGCAAAGUACAUGGCAAUUAAAUUGAGAAUCUUCUCUUCUCGUGAUGGGGCCUGUGGUGGGGAGGUUGACCAAGAGAGAAA